GGAAUAUUGGACAAUGGGCGCAAGCCUGAUCCAGCCAUGCCGCGUGAGUGAUGAAGGCCUUAGGGUUGUAAAGCUCUUUCAGUGGGGACGAUAAUGACGGUACCCACAGAAGGAGCCACGGCUAACUUCGUGCCAGCAGCCGCGGUAAUACGAAGGGGGCUAGCGUUGUUCGGAUUUACUGGGCGUAAAGCGCACGUAGGCGGAUCGUUAAGUGAGGGGUGAAAUCCCAGGGCUCAACCCUGGAACUGCCUUUCAUACUGGCGAUCUCGAGUCCGGAAGAGGUGAGUGGAACUCCUAGUGUAGAGGUGGAAUUCGUAGAUAUUAGGAAGAACACCAGUGGCGAAGGCGGCUCACUGGUCCGGUACUGACGCUGAGGUGCGAAAGCGUGGGGAGCAAAC
rnacentral:rRNA from 1 species